GUCUACCAGCGUAUAUGUAUUUUGUAUGGAGGAAUUGUCUCAGAUCCCUUGUAUUCUCCAACCUCAUCAGGCUACUGAUGUUAUGACGACAGCACUACACCAGCUCUGUGCCCUUGUAAUGCUGCCAGGUGCCUGCCACCUCACCUUCCCCUACACAGCUGUGUUCCCUGGACCUCGGGCACUAUCAUAGUCCACUUCAUAAAUCAAAGCACCUGGGCUUAUGACACAUUGGCCCGAGGCAAUUAAAAAAAGUGCGGUGAAGAAAAUGGAGACAGCUUGCUAUGUGAAAUAAAGCACUGCGAAGAAAAGACGAGCUGUGUGGGAUAUUUAGAACUCCCUCAGGAGGCAGUAUAGACUGUAAUUAAAAAUGAAGAAUGAAUUGGAAAGCAUUUGCCACUUUAAUUGUGGGGCUUUCUCAUCGAAGGCUGGAACGAGAGCUGGCAACGGAUGGUAUCACUUUUGCAGUGCGCUGAUGGUUUGCCCACCAUCUGACGAGACCCGUGUGAUUGAUUGGAGACAUGCACCUGCACUCAGCUGAGGUGGGAGGGGAUGAGUGUCCGUUUGGAUGCCAUCAAUCAAGGUAAUAGAGAAUUGGAGCAGCACCUCUGAACAUGUGGUGAGGAAGUCCUGUCUCCGUCAUUCAGUCGUGCACACACUGAGCUCCUGCAUCAUCUGGGACAACACCCACCAUUCUCUCAGCCAGAGAACAUUACUGUGACCUUCUGAAAGAUGCCUCUGAUUAUCCAAACAACCGAUGUGCUGCUGUUUGCUGCUGAAGGAUGAGCACCGUUUGGGAGAAAGAAGAGCAAUAUUAUCGCACAGUGCC
ensembl:lncRNA